AAUUAACGCAUCAAUCCUCGCUUAAUUAUCGAUCUCUGCUACGGAUCAAAUAUAGAAACCGUAAUCGAAUUUUAACUUCGUCCCUACGUGUUCCUCAACCAUUAUAAAAUCACUGUGGUGUUUAAUUAUGUUUUUAAGUGUACCCCGAAUUGGGGUCCAAAGUCCAGAGUGACUUGUUGGCUUCCUGCUUGCCGCCCGCUUGCCGUUUUGCUACUGGCGUGCUUCUGGCCCUUUCCCCGACUCAGCGCCACGCAGUUCGAAGCUGCGCUGAACUCAGCGCCGGACGGAAACACCAGCGCCUACCACCUCGGCACCGUCAGGGGAGUACUUCGGCUGCAAACGACUAGCGGAAUCCGAUCUAUUAUAGUAUUAGCG